GUGACUGUGUACCUACAGCUUGAUAAUUGCAUUUGUCUAUUUUGGAGAAAUGCUGUUACAUCUUACGGUUUAUUGCCUGCAAAGGAUUAUGAAACUCCCUGAUGUGGUCCAAUUCAUAUUGAAUUAUUUCAUGCAAAGUGGGACAGCUUAAGGAGAGAGUGAAAACAUCUGCUUCCCCUGUACUAGACAAGUCCACAGCAGCUUUUGGCUGGAGUACCCUCUGCACACACGGAGGUUUGAUCUCUGGAAGUAUACUUGGAUUUCUCACCAUCAAGGAGGAGGUUCUGCUGAGCAUCCUCCCAGGAGCAUGCAUAAAGCUGUGAAUUCACUACAAAGGAAAGGCAGCUCCCCACAGUUCAGAAUAAAGUGCUGAAAUCUUCCAGAGCUGCAGAAUUCAAGACACACACUCUUUUCCACGACUAAUUACCCAGCCUGCAUGGUUUCCUGUGGACUGAACUGGCUGUUCCAGCUCUCCUCCUCCUGCAGCCCCAGCAUGGAUGCCCGUGAAUUCUGCUCAUCACUAAAGACACUGUAACAAGUACCACUGUGACACAUUACUCACCUUCACAGAUCUGACCCAAAGUGAUUUAUUAAGUUUCACACAAGAAGUGUGCUGUGGAUGGAAGGGCUGAGCCAGUCUCCUGAAUCUUAAUGUUAUAUACUAUCUACUAGAUUAUCCUUUCUCUGAAGGUUUAACUUCUGAAAGUCUUGACAACUAGAUGUUCUUCAGUUGUAUUUUAAUGUCUCAGGGUUCAGUCAUGCACAUAUUGCCCAGGUCAAACUCUGAUUUGUGGAAUCAAAGACAAUUAUUUUUCAUUUUAUGCUUCAUGGGAAGGAUUUUGUAAUGUGAAAUGUAACUUAACUCUCCUGUUUGAUGUACUGAUGGUGUCUUUCCUAUUUUGACUUGAAAAGAUUAUUAAUUUCCUAAAACAUUUUUCAUAUGCAACAGAAUAGAAUAAUUUCUUUCCCUUUUUUCCUCCUCCUUUUUCUUGUUUUUUUGAACAUAACAUGCAAGGGAAGUGUCACUCUGGUUACUGAGGCUUGAAAGAACAGAUCAGUACCUCCCACAAGGCUCGAGAGAAGCCUUGAACUCUGCUUUGAACAGCAGUAGUGGUUACUGGCCCUCAAUGGAGAUAAAAGUAGCUGAACAGGACUAUUUGGAAUGUUUGAAAAAUAGUUUAUUUGUGUUUCAUAUUUUAUUGUAUGUUGCAGAUAUUAGUCCUCAAAACUCAGCGACACUUCCCACUUACAAAAUAGUUAUUGUUAUAAGUCUGAACAAACCAACCAGCCUUGCAUGGAUCUAGUCAAACUAACUGAAUUAAAGUGCUUGUAACCUUAGGGUACUGAAACCCUAAAUCAGAGGUAGGGGAAAGGGAGGUUCUGUUCUAAGGUACAUAGUCUGUUGUAUUUCUGCUAAGCAGUGGAGAUGAUGAGAGGCAGCUGAUGGCAAUCAGUGGCUACUGAGAAAGCUUACAAAGAGGAUUGGUUAAUUGCAGUUGUUUAGCAGGCUACAGGGUCACAUGCAGCUCAAUGAGGUCCUGAUCAUCUGAAGACCAGUAAGAGACCUCUUCCAGAAUUUGGCACAACAACCUGCAGAAGGCGUUAUGAAGGAGGUGGAGGUUAGUCAAUUCCUCUUCUACUUAUCAGAAAAUUAAACAGUUUUAAAUUAUUGCUGCCGUAUUCUAGGAAAGGGGUAGUUCCUUCCUGUAUGCACUCUUUUCUCACUCCUUCUUUUGUCCCAGUUCCCUCAAAGAAGUGUUGGUAAGAGAGUUGAUUCAUAAUUUGGGAGUGGAGAUCUCUAAGU